UGGCCAUAUCAUCUAUACCAGUUCUCAUCUGUUCACUGAAGUUAAGCAAUAUUGAGCCUUGUCAGCACCUAAAUGGGUGAGCAUUUGGGAAUAUCAGGUGUUGUA